rnacentral:rRNA from 1 species
CUACGGGUGGCACCAGUGGGGAAUAUUGCACAAUGGAGGAAACUCUGAUGCAGCAACGCCGCGUGGAGGAUGACACUUUUCGGAGCGUAAACUCCUUUUAUAUAGGAAGAAGAUGACGGUACUAUAUGAAUAAGCGCCGGCUAACUCCGUGCCAGCAGCCGCGGUAAUACGGAGGGCGCAAGCGUUACUCGGUAUCACUGGGCGUAAAGAGCGUGUAGGCGGAUUAAAAAGUCAGAAGUGAAAUCCUAUAGCUUAACUAUAGAACUGCUUCUGAAACUCUUAAUCUAGAAUAUGGGAGAGGUAGAUGGAAUUUCUGGUGUAGGGGUAAAAUCCGUAGAGAUCAGAAGGAAUACCGAUUGCGAAGGCGAUCUACUAGAACAUUAUUGACGCUGAGACGCGAAAACGUGGGGAGCAAACAGGAUUAGAUACCCUGGUAGUC